GUGAGUGAAUUAGGAGCUGAAGCAGUAAAGUAGCUUUCCCUGUGACCCUGAUGUGUCGGGCAUUUCUGUCUUAGACUAAAAGCAUAAUAAAAAAGGCACUUUGUUUAGGUUAACAGAGCAUUAUAUAACUGGAAAGUUUUACAGUUUUAUAUAUAUAGUGAAUAGUUUGUAGAGGAUAAAAAGACUUCCCUUUGGUUUAUUAUUUGGGUAAAAUAAAAACCCACGAAUCAUUUAAGGAUGCAUUUCUUUUUCUUUUUUCUGCCUUUUUUUUUUUAAGACAAAAGCUUGAAGGCAUAAAAUGGAGUUAUUUUCAUCGGGAUAUCACCCUCGAUGCUGCUGCUUUACUACAUGUUCAUAGUCAAAAUUAUUUCAUGUUUCCCUUGAAUAACUACGAUCAGUUUGAAAACAGCUUUGUUAAUUAGUAAGAGAUGACGCAAUAUAUCACUGCAUCUUUAGGGCUCUGGCGCCAGCUAGUGGUAGGAGAGGGGAGCCGCCCUGUCGCUCUCAAAUCUGGGAAGGCGUCGGUCUUCUCGCGUCCCCUUAUCCCUCAUCCUCCUCAUUUUUUUUUUCCAUCAGCAUAAUGGGGGAAUCAUUGCAGUGUGGCCAGAGAGGAGCAGACGAGAUUAUAGAUGAAAGUAGAGAAAAACGGUGGGCAGGGGCAGGGAGAGGAAAGGCCAGACAAAUGCAAUCAUUUCUCCAAAGGAUUUGAGAAGAGAUCAUUUAUUUGAAAUAUUCCUGCCAUGUUGAUGGAGCAGCUCAAUCUUUUGCCAGUGAAUCUUUAGCGUUUUGUUUUUCAUUUGUAGAUAUGGUUGAACAUAUACUUAGGACACGUAAUAACUAUGGAACUUCAUCACAAACACAGCACUGAGGACAUGUUCUGAAUACAGACAAUAUGGAGGCCUCAGGCUCAGAGGAUGGCAGAGUCUUCAGAUGGAUGGAGGGAGCUGCAGUCACUGAACCACUGCAGGGAGAGAAGUACUCACAGACCAGGAACGCUCAACUUGGACUGUUAUGUGACAGAAAGAACUUGAUGUAUACCUCCUGACCUGUUCAUCUUGUAGCUGCCUCUUGACAGGUUGCUGACUUCGCCUGGAGGGACUCUAUCAGAUGGAAUCUCCCUCUGUCAUCCCGGCUGGAGUGCAAUGGUGCGUUCUUGGCUCACUGCAACCUCUAUCUCGCAGGCUCAAGUAAUCCUCCCACUUCAGCCUAUUGAGUAACUGGGACCACAGGUGCACACCAUCAUGCCAGGAGAAACAAAUGCCAAACAGUGAAGGUCAAGAAGGCCAUAGUGAUAUAUGCAAGUUCAAAAAGUGGAAGAAGCUUUUACACAGAGAAAUAUCAAUCAGCCAGCUUUUCAUGGCUGAUGCCUGAAAAUAUCAUCCACCUGUGUCUCUGAGCAUACUUUGGCUUUGACUCCUAGUGAUAUUACAUGUAAUGUCAUGGCUAGAUAUUUCAAUUUCAGAAACAAAUGAUUCCACUGAAUAGUAAGACAUUUGCCAACUGGACAAUAAUUCAUAAGGAGAGGGUUCAGAAACUGUAAGUUUUAUUAUGAAAAGGUAAGGAAAUCCAACCCUAGAUGGAGGUAACUUGGAAAGAAUGAUUGGUUAUUUUGUAUAACUCUAAAGGGCAUAACUAGGACUAACAAGUCAAAGCUUUCAGGAAGAAAAUUUCUAUAUAAUGUGCAGAAAUUUCAAACAGUUGAUCAGUUGCUUUUGUUAUUAUUGUUAGAGACAGGAUCUCACUAUGUUGCCCAGGCUUGAUUCUAACCUCCCCCACUGCCAACCCCCCGGCUCAAGCAAUCCUACUGCCUUAGCCUCUUGAGUAGCUGGGACUACGGGCACACACACACACACCACUGCACCAGGUAAAUUUCUAACAACUCAAAGUGUUAUAAAGGAAUAGGUCGCCUAGUAGCAUGGUCAGCGGUGUCUGUAAGACUUCUCGUCAGUCAGGCUGCGGUAUGGGAUUGAAGUGGAAGAUCACUAAGAAAUGGAGGGAAUGAAUUUCAGAAUGGGUGGGGGGUUUCAGGGUGUUGGGUCAAUAGCUGUCUUAUCAAUGGAGCUGAGAAUGAAAACCUAGGAAAAGUGACACUGGCUCUAGAAGGGAACUGGGCCAUCUGCCUUAUAGACCAUCUGCUAAUUUGUUGCUCAUUUAUUGGUGAAACUUGGGAAGGUAAUGGAUAUGUAUGAGCUCUCUCAGAACUUGCCUUGUUGCCUAAUGGAUAUCUUUGACUUUUCCAACUCCAAGUAUCUGUAAAAGUUCCUAAUUUCCUCAUAGACUUGUAAAACCACUCAAACCCACCAGGCCCUUAUUCUGUUUCCAAGAUCACCUUUCAGGUGUCACCGUGUUGACAAGUUAUUUGGAGCUCUAUUGACCUUGUCUCAUUAUUGGAACUUUUCUAAUAUCUUGAAUGCAGAUGGAAGGAAAGGAGACAAUAACAACAAAAAAUAAAACUGCAACAGCAUGAUUUAUUAUAGUAUAUAUUUCUCAGAAGAGACAAAAACAGCAUCAAUGAAGAGCAAUCAUAGAAGGUUCACAGUUGCCUCAGAACCAAUUCAACAAUUCAUAGGGGGUUGGCAUCACAUAAACAGCUGGGAAAAAGCAGUUAAAUGAUUUUCUACAUGCUCUUAGGGAGAGACUGUGUCUAAUCUGAUGCAGUUGCUCCAAAGGAGCGCAGCUAAUGACAUCUACACCAAAUAUCAGUUCAAUAAAUUGCUUCCUUUCAUUAAUCUGAGUGUCGGUGUCUGCAUUAACGGUGUUAACACAGCAGAAGGUCUAAAGGAGAGAUAAUAAGGACCUGUUUUUAGUGACAUGUGGGGGCGGCCCUGUGAAAACAAGCAAAUAUAUAACUGGUCCCUUGACUCUGGUGAAUCAAAACCAUUUCAUUUAUUCAUUCUGUCACUCCAAAAUUAUUCUUUGAGUGACUACUAUGUGCCUGGUCCUGGGCUAUGUCCUCAUGUACCAAUGGACAAAGGGCCUUCAGGGAGCUUAUAGUAGGUGGGGAGGAGGCAGAAGUCAUCACCUGCAUACAUAAUUGACUGUGAUGAGGGAUAAGAAGGGAAAGUAUGCAUUACUUUGAAAAAAUGCAACAGGGGAAUACCUUUAGAUGGAGACUGACCAUCUUUCUAGAAAAAUCAGGGCUUUAGGCUAGAAGAGCUUGUAGUGUAUGGGCGAUUAUGACUCCUCUGGGAGUCUAGGCGUACAUGAACAGUGUGCGUUUACUAUCAAAUCUGUAUGUGACUAUGUUUUGCAGUGGGCAGGCCUAAACAAACUUACCCCCCUCCCUCCCCAAGGCCAAGGAAGCUGAGAGGCCAAAGAUAAAAGCUAACAUAUCCAGUCUCUUAGAAAUAAGCAUUCAAUAGGGACUUGGCAAACAGAAGCCAUGUCUCUAUCUCAGGUGGCAGUGAGACAAGAUGGUGGAUCCCUACACCAUUACCCCUCAGACGCAGGGCUUAUAUGGUAUAGGGAAAGGGUGAUUCAGAAAGGAUGCAUAGGACAAUUGAAGUGCGAUAACAUCAAGACUGUUUGGCUUAAGGGCAGGAUUUACAGUAAGUAUCUGUUCUUACACAAGGAGCAAUAGAUAAACUGGAAAUUGUAGAGGCCUUCCCAGAGCUGGAUUUAAUCAGAAGCCAACAUGGAAGAUGAGCAUCCAAGAUGGAGUUGCUUUGGUCUCCACAAACUGUAUUGGGAAAAUACAACUUUCCUUACCCUGAUUAUUAUACAUUAUGGUUAGGUGCUUAUAAAUGAAGAUAAUGACCAUUUCUGUAAUCGGCAAUGUACUGUAAAUGAGAUGGAAGCACAGUGUAUCUCUGGGCAAGGUGUGUAAUAGUAAGGCCUUCCCUUUCCUUCCACCCUCAAGGCUUGGGUGGAUUAAGAAUCUCUGGUCACUAUGGCACCUUAUGACCAUUGAUGAGCAUCACUUCAAGAAAGAACUAGGACUGUCUCUGGACAGAGCAUUUUUUCUUUGAACUCUGGUGUCUGUGAGCUGGCUCACCUGAUUCGGGCGCUCUGUGGCUUCCAAGAUUCAUCUUGAGAAUCACAUCAAAAGUCCUGAAACUGACUGACCAUCAGGGGAUGCAGAAGAGAGAAGGGUGCCCUGGCUAAGCACUGGCUGCAAUGCUGGUCCAAGGGGGAGAAACUACAUGGCCAAGAAAAUGCAGCUCACUCGUGGGAAUGUCAUAGCACCUGGAGGAACUCAUAAAAUAGCAUAGGAAUAUGCCUAUACCAUUUCUGCUUCUAUUUCAUUGAGGGAGUGAAUAUGAUAAGAUGUCAUCAGGUGACUGAAUGUAUCGUUAGCAUUCUCCUCCUUAUUGAUUACAUUUAUUGAAAUCUUGUAUGUCAGGCACUGUUUUAAGCUCUGUCAUCCAUCUGUCUGUCUAAAACCUCAUUAAAUUGUCACAACUGAUUGCCAAAUGUAACUCUUCAAAACAGGAAUAUUCUAAUUUAUUUUUCUUAUAACUGGGAAGAUAUUUUUAAGUUUCCAAAAAGAAAGAGUUAAUGUUUUUAAUAAAAGGUGUUCCCAUUCCCUG
rnacentral:lncRNA from 10 species